GACGCCGUUUCGACAUGACAUAUUUUUGAGACAAUUUCGUCUCCUUCAGGUGAUUUCCACGUUAAAUGCUGGCUGGGAUUAAUAAAACAUUGUUUGCGAAACUGGUAAUUGAGUAAACACCAGUAAAUAACCGAUAUUAAACGACGCAAACCAGGUCAAAACAAGCUGAGACACUCAGGCCGUUUAUUUCCCUAGGGAUUCGCGUUAACAAAUUGUUGAUGACAACAAGCAGCAUGAGGCGACUAGCCCCAUUGCAAAUGGCCCAAUUGCAAGAGAGAGAAAAACUAGGUCGUACGUCUGAGCUGGAAACUAGAGCGAUUCCUAAACCCACCCAAUGGUCAUUGAUCCUAUGUUUUACCGUGUAUUUUGAUGGCCAAGUUUCAGGCACACGAAGAAAUUUUGUUUGGAGAUUUAUUCCAAACGAAGCAAUCGAGCAAACCGAGAAAAAUUGUGCAUCCGUAACAGUGUUUAAAAAGCUGAUUUUUCGAAGUCCCACUCUGCGUUUAAGCGAACAUUCGUCGUCGAGAAUUUCAAGCAGGACAGGAUAUUGCCCUUUCGAAAACCCGAUAAAUUCGAUAGUGCGGGUCUAGACUGGAAAAUAUUUUUUCCAACUUAUGAGAUGCUGACAGCCGAAUGGGGUCUUCAACAUUUUACAACAGAUACGAGGAUUUUUCCAUAAAAACGCUUGCUUAGUUUGGAUUAGCGAUGGAAGAAAAACUAUGUUUCGCAAACAUCGAUGUAAUUCGUUCGAUGUUCGCUAUUUUUACCAUCGAUGUUGGAAAUUUGGGACAUCGAUAAAAC